rnacentral:rRNA from 1 species
UACGUAGGGUCCGAGCGUUGUCCGGAAUUACUGGGCGUAAAGCGCACGUAGGUGGUUUGUUAAGCCAGCUGUGAAAUCCCCGGGCUCAACCUGGGCACUGCAGUUGGAACUGGCAAGCUAGAGUAGGGUAGAGGGGUGUGGAAUUCCAGGUGUAGCGGUGAAAUGCGUAGAUAUCUGGAGGAACAUCAGUGGCGAAGGCGACACCCUGGACUCAUACUGACACUGAGGUGCGAAAGCGUGGGGAGCAAACAGG